rnacentral:rRNA from 1 species
UACAGAGGUCUCAAGCGUUGUUCGGAUUCAUUGGGCGUAAAGGGUGCGUAGGCGGUCGCGCAAGUCGGAUGUGAAAUCUCAGGGCUCAACCCUGAAACUGCAUUCGAUACUGCGUGGCUAGAGUGCUGGAGGGGAGACUGGAAUUUACGGUGUAGCAGUGAAAUGCGUAGAUAUCGUAAGGAAGACCAGUGGCGAAGGCGAGUCUCUGGACAGCAACUGACGCUGAGGCACGAAGGCCAGGGGAGCAAACGGG